rnacentral:lncRNA from 1 species
UUAUACCCAGAGACAGACACAGCACACUGCUUUGUAAUAUGCAACUAGAGAUGCAUACCUAAACAUUCACAGCAAAACACUUGCAUCUUUUAGGUGGACGUUUAAUCAAAACAAAGACAAAUACUAUGUUUACAGUGUUUCAGAUGCUCUUCUGGGAAAACAUCUAUGUGGAAGCAGAAACGUUUUGCCCAGUCCUGAAGUCCGGAGGAAUGGGAAAUCUCCACUGAGGUUCUCUUAUAGGGUGAGUAAAAUUGUAUUGUUAAUAGCUUUUUAUGUUACUGUGAU